UGGAGAUCUCCAUACAGAAACAGACUGGUCCACCCUCCCUGCUGAAGGAGCGAGAGAAAUAUAUUCCAUACUGAUAGUCUGGCAGCAUUGGGAUCAUCCAGAUGUCUGCUGUGUGACAGGAACGUAACAUUUAAGCUACUGGGUGCAAUUGUGACAUGC